rnacentral:rRNA from 1 species
UACGUAGGGGGCAAGCGUUGUCCGGAAUCAUUGGGCGUAAAGCGCGUGUAGGCGGCCUUGUAAGUCAGUUCUGAAAGCCCGGGGCUCAACCCCGGGAGGCGGAUGGAUACUGCAAGGCUCGAGUACGGAAGAGGCGAGUGGAAUUCCCGGUGUAGCGGUGAAAUGCGCAGAUAUCGGGAGGAACACCAAUGGCGAAGGCAGCUCGCUGGGACGUUACUGACGCUGAGACGCGAAAGCGUGGGGAGCAAACAGG